UGGGGAAUUUUGGACAAUGGGCGCAAGCCUGAUCCAGCCAUGCCGCGUGCGGGAAGAAGGCCUUCGGGUUGUAAACCGCUUUUGUCAGGGAAGAAAUCUUCUGAGUUAAUACCUCGGGAGGAUGACGGUACCUGAAGAAUAAGCACCGGCUAACUACGUGCCAGCAGCCGCGGUAAUACGUAGGGUGCAAGCGUUAAUCGGAAUUACUGGGCGUAAAGCGUGCGCAGGCGGUUUUGUAAGACAGAGGUGAAAUCCCCGGGCUCAACCUGGGAACUGCCUUUGUGACUGCAAGGCUUGAGUGCGGCAGAGGGGGGAUGGAAUUCCGCGUGUAGCAGUGAAAUGCGUAGAUAUGCGGAGGAACACCGAUGGCGAAGGCAAUCCCCUGGGCCUGCACUGACGCUCAUGCACGAAAGCGU
rnacentral:rRNA from 1 species